GCUCAACAAAUCACACUGCCACAUGUGUACUUAUGCAGCAGUCUUGCAUGUUCUUCACAUGUACUCCAAAACCUAAAAUGCAAU